GGGCGCUUGGUCUAGGGGUAUGAUAUUCGCUUUGCAUCUCGUAUGAACAUGGUAACAAUAGUUGUUCAACAUUGUUUCUUUGUUUAUUCAUGAUGAUUGCGAAGGGUCGUGGGUUCAAUUCCCACAGCGUCCA